AAUGGUUCUAUAUUGGUAUUGUAGACCAAAUUGCGGGUCGUUUCUGACAUUAUUAUUUGCGUUGAAUACUGCAUUUGAUAGUGGUAUUUUGAUCUUUUGAACUGAAUCAUGCAAUGCAAAUAAAGGAACCAUGAUGUGUAUUAAAAAGAAAAGGGUGAUAAAAUGAUCAUAAUAAAGGAUUGCACGACAUUGUUGUUUUUGUGCUCUAGAAUUGGGUCAUGGUCCUCUAUAUUUGCAAGAAAGCCUUGGGAUGAAACCUAUAUUACCUGAUAAAGGUGUGUGAACUAGAUUAUGAACAUAGAAUUGUGCCUAAGAAAGGAUUUAGGCUAGUAUGAUUUUGGUUUUUCAGUUUUUAUCAUGAAAUAUCCCUUGACAGUAAGUGCUUUAAAAAUUUUUCCCAGCAUACAAUCACAAACCUGUUUUAUCAAAAGAAACAACUAGCUCUAAUUAUUCAACACUAGACUUUCCUUCUUAGGGUGAUAUGGCUUUUGAAAUUCUACUCCUAUAUGCCUUCUUUCUAUGCUUUCGGUUCUUUAGUGUUAUCAUAUUCAAUCUAGAAUGAUCUUGGUUAAGUUGAAGUUAUAGCAUUUAGGUUCCAUAUAUCAUGUUUCAGUAAUUAUAUAUGAUCAUGUGGCUCUUAAGAUGACAAUCACCAUAUAGGUGUUCUUUUUUCCGUUUUGGAAAACAGAGAGGAAAAAAGAACAACUAUUUGCCUUUUAUUGGACUUAGUGAUCUAAAUAUCACUCCAAAAUUAGUCUGCUCUCUAUCUUUUUAUCAGAUUGUUAGGAGUCUAUUAAGGAUCUACUGGUGCCAAACUAUGAGGGCUUCUGUGUUUUUUUUGUAUUUUUUGUAAAGUUCAUAAAUGGGAUGUAAAGGUGCUCGUACAAAGUCAUUACUGGGUGCCUGUUAGGUCUCAUAUUAGUUGCUUAUUUGCAGUCCUUAACCUCAAAAUGGGGCUUAAUUAUGUGUCCAGCCAGUCCUUCAAUUCAGAGUUUUACGGCUGCCAAUUCUUUAAAUGAGGGCUUCUGUAUUUUUUUUGUAUUUUUUGUAAAGUUCGUAAAUGGGAUGUAAGGGAUGCUCGUACAAAGU
rnacentral:lncRNA from 1 species